CAGAGAGGCGGAGGGGCAAAGGGAGAGAGAGACAGAACCUCAAGCUGUCUCCCUAAUGAGUGUGGAGUCCAACACGGAACUCGAUCUCACGACCUCAAGAUCAUGACCUGAGCUGAAAUCAAGAGUCGGACACUUAACUGACUGAGCCCCCGAGGUGCCCCUCUAGCAGUCUUUCUCAAACACUCCUUCACCCACAGAGUGUAGACCCCAAUAGAACCUCCAGCACCUUCUCACUUUAGAGAGAGCCAAGGCCCCCUGGGCUCCCUCACAGAGGCCAAAGCAGGAGUGGAGUGGCUGUACCUUCUCCUCUGGCUCAGACUGAGCUUGUCAUCUUCCAGCCACACCGCCUGUGUUUACAAACCUGGCUGGCUCACUGAGCUUUUGGUAUUCACCCUACAGGAUUCAGACUUGUCACAUUAAGGAAAGAAUCCAGCUUUACAAGACACUCAGAACCUGACCCCACUCUCUGUGAUCUUUGGCAACUGCUCAGGGUCUGGAUUUUUAACCUCCCUGGAAAGACAUGAUUCAUGCCUUUCUUCUCAACACUUGACAUCAACCUCCCAGAAUCAGCUGAGGCCUCUCCAGAGGGAAACCAAAGAGUGUGUGCAUUUCAGAACCAUCCCCUUCCACCAGAAACAGAGGGUGAGGGUGUAGGCCAGGCUCACCAGCAAGGAGAUGUGAGUAGAGGUGAUCUAGCUCCCAAGUCUGACUGGACCAUGAGGUAAAUUCCAAAAAUAAUAAGUCUGAAGCAAUGAUCUCCAAUCAUGGUAAAGGAUAAUGAUCGACCACUACUUGUUGAAAAUUUAUUGAUUAUGUGCCAGAUAAUGUUCAACAUAUUUUAUAGCAUUACCUUAUUUAAAACUCAUACCCCUUGGGGCACUUGGGUGGAUCAAUUGAACUUCCUACUCUUGGUUUCAGCUCAGGUCAUCAUUUCAGGGUCCUAGGAUUGAACCCUGUGUUGGGCUCCACACUCAAUGGGGACUCUGCUUGGGAUUCUCUCUCCCCCUCUCCCUCUGCCCCUCCUCCCCCACACACUGACACAAACAUGUGCUCUCCUUCUCUCUGUCUCAAAAAUAAAUAAAUAAGGGGCACUUGGGUGGCUCAGUUGGCUAAGCAUCUGCUUUGGGGCCAGGUCAUGAUCUCAGGGUCCUGGGGUCAAACCUCACAUCAGGCUCUCUGCUCAGUGGUGAGUCUGCUUCUCCCUCUCCUUCUCCCUCUGUGUUCUUUUUUUUUUUUAAGAUUUUAUUUAUUUAUUCAUAGAGACAGAGAGAGAGAGAGAGAGAGGCAGAGACACAGGCAGAGGGAGAAGCAGGCUCCAUGCAGGGAGCCCGACGUGGGACUCGAUCCCGGGUCUCCAGGAUCACACCCCAGGCUGCAGGUGUGAACCGCUGCGCCACUGGGGCUGCCCCUCCCUCUGUGUUCUCUCUCGCUCUUGAUCUCUCUUUAAGUAGCUAAUAAUAAUUUCCAUUUUAUAGAUAAGGAAACAGAGCUAGAAAGAAUUGGAAUGAGGAUGUGAAGCCAGGUAGCAAUGACUCUUAUCUAUGAUCCCUGGGGAGAGGGUUGGGAUGAGUGGUGUCUACUAGAGUCUGGUGACACUCUUCAUGCUUAGCAACAGGGAAGGGGCUUGAAAGGGUUCCACAUAUUGGGAAGAUGAUAAGGUUCUCAGUCCACCAUCUAAGCAUUUAUUUUUCACUCACAUAUCUGAGAGUUAUUUGGGGUUUGGCUGACCCAGGCUGGGCUCAGCAGGGUUUGGCUCAGGUCAGAUUGGAUCCCCAUCUGCUCCAUGUGUGCCUCAUCCUCCCUGGCCUACAGUCUGAAUCAAGAGUCAUGUUCUACGCAUGCUAAAGCGGGAGCAUAAGCGGACAAACCGCACAAAUGCGUUUCAAGUCAUUUUGCAUCAUGCCCUCUAAUGUCCUGUUGGCCAAACGAUAUGGCCAGACCCAAGGCAAGGGGUGGGAUACAGAGCACUCCUUACAGAUGCACGAGGGAACAGAUACUUGCUGAAUGAUGGUCUAACAUGCUACAUCUUCCUUGUGGGAUUUCCUCCUUCUGAGUACCUUAUGAUCAUCUGACCAUUUGUAGGGUGGAAACCAUUUCCCUGGCACAGACUAGGUCAGGGCACCUAAUUAUUGGUGCAAGCUUUCCCAUUUCAGUUGUAAACUUUGGUCUGCUGUCUCCAGCUAUAAGGUGAGUUCCUCCUCUGAAUUACAGUUCUCUAAAUGGGAAGCCCCUUCCUUACUGAGGAGUCCUUAUACUUGGGAGGCAAUGAUCUCUAGGCUGCUCAGCAGGUGUAACCCCCUGAGGGCCCGGUGACUGUGCCCGCCCCUGACUUUCACUGAAGGACCUCUCACACCUGGAACCUGUCCACCAGUGACCCCUCUAAGCUGAUCUCUUUCUCUCCAGCUUGCGGUCUGGGACAACUCCAUGGGAACAUGGAUUACUCACUCAGCCUUAACUUGCUGGCUUAAAAAAAAAUCCUUAAUUGGCUACUCCCUGCAGGGGGAGAACAGGUGAAUCUCUCAGCUCCAUGCUUCCUAAAUCUGGCUGGGUAUCACGACACUUGGAGACUUGACAAAAGUGGACGUUGUUUGGCCCCACCAUCAGAUGUGGUGAUUCAGAUGCUUCAGCACGGGACUUGAAGAUCUGUAUUUCAAGAGCAUCAUCCUGAAACAUUUCUGAGGCAGCUGAAAACCACCACAUAGUGUCCUUGAAUUCUCAUAAUGAUUCUAAGGAUUUGGAAUGUUAAAAUCUAUUUUGUUGAUGAGAUACUGAGACUGGGAGAGAUUGAGGACAUUUGCUCCAGGCCAUACACCUAGUAUAUCAGGAUUCAUUCUACCCUGAGAAGGAGAAAAUUCAAAAUUUAAAGAUAGCUUAAACAUGAUGAGAGCAUCUUUCUCAUUCACAGAAUCAAAAACUGCAGUGAAGGAGUUCAGGUGCCCAGAUUCCUUCUGGCAUGUUACUCAGUCACCUCAACACCAGGCUUCCUCCUCGUGGUUCAAAAUGGUUGCUCCAGCUCCGGUUAUCAAGCCCACCUUCUAGCUUCCAGGAAGAAGGAAAAAGAAGGUUCUUUCUACUCUAGACACCGUGGAGCUUCAGUUGCUUAUGACAUAUGGAUGGGGGAGAAAGGAUACAGGAUGAGGUUGAGGAAUAGACAGAAAAACAGUUUGGCUUGUUUUGUUCUGUAAGCCUUCUGUAAAUAGUCAUUUUUUCAGACAAAUAUUUAUUUUGGGAUUUAGCCAUUUAAUUUAUAAAAUAGCAUUUGUAGAUUUCUAUGCCUUUUUGAAAAGAAAUGUGUGUUCAUUAUAGAAAAACUUUAAAAUAUCAUCGGGCACUAAGAAUGAAAGAAAACCCCACUCAUCAUCCAUAUACCAUAAUAGCCACCCUGUUUUGAUCUUUAUCCUUUUCAUUAUUUCUGUAUUAUACAUUAAAACAUUUUUUGAUUGCAAAAAUUAAA